UGUGGCUCUUAUUGAAGCUGCAGUUGCUUCCACAUAGCUGCUGUAGUCAAAACAGAGCCCAGAGUGAGUUUUUCCUUGAUGGUCGCCAUUUGACUUGCUGUAAUCGAUCCACAACAUUUCAGGAAAAGAUAGUC